CUGCUGCCUCCCGUAGGAGUUUGGGCCGUGUCUCAGUCCCAAUGUGGCCGUCCACCCUCUCAGGCCGGCUACUGAUCGUCGCCUUGGUGGGCCGUUACCCCGCCAACAAGCUAAUCAGACGCGGGUCCAUCCCAUACCACCGGAGUUUUUCACACUGUACCAUGCAGUACCGUGCGCUUAUGCGGUAUUAGCACCUAUUUCUAAGUGUUAUCCCCCGGUAUGGGGCAGGUUACCCACGCGUUACUCACCCGUCCGCCACUAGGGUCCCA
rnacentral:rRNA from 1 species